rnacentral:rRNA from 1 species
ACGGAGGGUGCAAGCGUUGUUCGGAAUCACUGGGCGUAAAGGGCGCGUAGGCGGUUUGACAAGUCAGAUGUGAAAGCCCAGGGCUCAACCGUGGAAGUGCAUUUGAAACUGCAAGACUUGAGUAUCAGAGGGGAGGAUGGAAUUCCCGGUGUAGAGGUGAAAUGCGUAGAUAUCGGGAGGAAUACCGGUGGCGAAGGCGACUUUCUGGCUGAGUACUGACGCUGAGGCACGAAAGCGUGGGGAGCAAACAG